ACUACGGGUGGCAGCAGUGAGGAAUAUUGGUCAAUGGCCGGAAGGCUGAACCAGCUAUGCCGCGUGAAGGUCAGUGCCCUAUGGGCGUUAAACUUCUUUUGUGCGGGAGCAAUAAUGGUCACGUGUGGCCAGACGAGAGUACCGUACGAAUAAGCAUCGGCUAACUCCGUUCCAGCAGCCGCGGUAAUACGGGGGGUGCAAGCGUUAUCCGGGUUUAUUGGGGUUAAAGGGUGAGUAGGGUGGGAGGUAAGUCAGCGGGGAAUUGCCCCCGCUCAACGGGGUGAAGUGCCAUUGAUACUGCCUUGUUGGAAUGCGGAUGCCGUGGGAGGAAUGUGUGGUGUAGCGGUGAAAUGCAUAGAUAUCACACAGAACACCGAUUGCGAAGGCAUCUCACGAAUCCGCGAUUGACGCUGAUGCACGAAAGCGUGGGUAUCAAACAGGAUUAGAUACCCUUGUAGUC
rnacentral:rRNA from 1 species